rnacentral:rRNA from 1 species
CCACUUCGGUGGGGAUUAGUGGCGAACGGGUGAGUAACACGUGGGCAAUCUGCCCUUCACUCUGGGACAAGCCCUGGAAACGGGGUCUAAUACCGGAUACCACUACCGCAGGCAUCUGUGGUGGUUGAAAGCUCCGGCGGUGAAGGAUGAGCCCGCGGCCUAUCAGCUUGUUGGUGAGGUAAUGGCUCACCAAGGCGACGACGGGUAGCCGGCCUGAGAGGGCGACCGGCCACACUGGGACUGAGACACGGCCCAGACUCCUACGGGAGGCAGCAGUGGGGAAUAUUGCACAAUGGGCGAAAGCCUGAUGCAGCGACGCCGCGUGAGGGAUGACGGCCUUCGGGUUGUAAACCUCUUUCAGCAGGGAAGAAGCGAAAGUGACGGUACCUGCAGAAGAAGCGCCGGCUAACUACGUGCCAGCAGCCGCGGUAAUACGUAGGGCGCAAGCGUUGUCCGGAAUUAUUGGGCGUAAAGAGCUCGUAGGCGGCUUGUCACGUCGGGUGUGAAAGCCCGGGGCUUAACCCCGGGUCUGCAUUCGAUACGGGCUAGCUAGAGUGUGGUAG